CAAGAGCUCAGACUAAGGCGUACUAUUUUUCUUUUCAGCAGACCGAGGCCCUCCAAAGGUGUCCUAAGUAAGUCAUCACAACUCUUG